rnacentral:rRNA from 1 species
GACGAACGCUGGCGGCGUGCUUAACACAUGCAAGUCGAACGGAAAGGCCCUGCUUUUGUGGGGUGCUCGAGUGGCGAACGGGUGAGUAACACGUGAGUAACCUGCCCUUGACUUUGGGAUAACUUCAGGAAACUGGGGCUAAUACCGGAUAGGAGCUCCCGCUGCAUGGUGGGGGUUGGAAAGUUUCGGCGGUUGGGGAUGGACUCGCGGCUUAUCAGCUUGUUGGUGGGGUAGUGGCUUACCAAGGCUUUGACGGGUAGCCGGCCUGAGAGGGUGACCGGCCACAUUGGGACUAAGAUACGGCCCAGACUCCUACGGGAGGCAGCAGUGGGGAAUAUUGCACAAUGGGCGGAAGCCUGAUGCAGCAACGCCGCGUGCGGGAUGACGGCCUUCGGGUUGAAAACCGCUUUCGCCUGUGACGAAGCGUGAGUGACGGUAAUGGGUAAAGAAGCACCGGCUAACUACGUG